rnacentral:rRNA from 1 species
UACGUAGGGUGCGAGCGUUAAUCGGAAUUACUGGGCGUAAAGUGUGCGCAGGCGGCGUUGCAAGUCGGGUGUGAAAUCCCCGAGCUUAACUUGGGAAUUGCGCUCGAAACUACGAUGCUCGAGUGUGGCAGAGGAAGGUGGAAUUCCACGUGUAGCGGUGAAAUGCGUAGAGAUGUGGAGGAACACCGAUGGCGAAGGCAGCCUUCUGGGCCAACACUGACGCUCAUGCACGAAAGCGUGGGGAGCAAACAGG